rfam:Lupinus angustifolius cultivar Tanjil chromosome LG04, whole genome shotgun sequence.
AAUCCAUGGUUUGGACAUUUCCUCAACAUUGAUUUGUACCUCUCCCAGGCUUCACAUAAACUUUCACCUGCAAACUGAGAGAAAGUAGAAAUAGCAGUUUUAAAAUC